GAUUCCCCUAGUAACUGCGAGUGAAGCGGGAAAAGCUCAAAUUUAAAAUCUGGCGGUCUUUGGCCGUCCGAGUUGUAAUCUAGAGAAGUGUUACCCGCGUCGGACCGUGUACAAGUCUCCUGGAAUGGAGCGUCAUAGAGGGUGAGAAUCCCGUCUUUGACACGGACUACCGAGGCUUCUGUGGUGCGCUCUCAAAGAGUCGAGUUGUUUGGGAAUGCAGCUCAAAAUGGGUGGUAAAUUCCAUCUAAAGCUAAAUAUUGGCGAGAGACCGAUAGCGAACAAGUACCGUGAGGGAAAGAUGAAAAGAACUUUGGAAAGAGAGUUAAACAGUACGUGAAAUUGCUGAAAGGGAAACGCUUGAAGUCAGUCGCGUCGUCCGGGAAUCAGCCUUCCUUCUGGUUGGCGUACUUCCUGGUCGACGGGCCAGCAUCAGUUUUGACCGGUGGAAAAAGUCGUAGGGAAUGUGGCACCUCCGGGUGUGUUAUAGCCCUGCUUCGUAUACAUCGGUUGGGACUGAGGAACUCAGCACGCCGCAAGGCCGGGAUUCGUCCACGUUCGUGCUUAGGAUGCUGGCAUAAUGGCUUUAAUCGACCCGUCUUGAAACACGGACCAAGGAGUCUAACAUGCCUGCGAGUGUUUGGGUGGAAAACCCGAGCGCGUAAUGAAAGUGAAAGUUGAGAUCCCUGUCAUGGGGAGCAUCGACGCCCGGACCAGACGUUCUCUGACGGUUCUGCGGUAGAGCAUGUAUGUUGGGACCCGAAAGAUGGUGANCUAUGCCUGAAUAGGGUGAAGCCAGAGGAAACUCUGGUGGAGGCUCGUAGC
rnacentral:rRNA from 1 species